GCGCGUUAUGUCCACGAGAGCGCUAACCCACUCUGGCUGGGCUGUAGCUCCUUUCGGAGCCGGAUUCCGGCGGCCCCAGGCUCAUUUGAAGGAUUUUAGUUUGUAGAAUUCCUUAUUCAUUUUUUUAGGCUAACAAGUAAUCGUCGGCCUCAAUAAAGAUGGCGGUAGCGGUUUUACCAUGAAGCUGUGAGUGUACGGAGUGAGAUGCGGAAAGAGGGUCGCGGCAGCUUGAGAGAGUGAGGGGCUCUCGACGUGAAGGCGCCGGCAUAGCGGAGGAGAUGGGGAGGCCAUGUGCUAGUGACCCCUGCCUCAGUGCCUGUUGUCCACGAGAGUCUUCCUGUCACUGCAAUGCUCCCAGAGUGACACAUUUCUUUUGCCUCUGGGUUAUAGAAAAAUGAAGACAGAAGGUGGGACAUUGGAUGCUGUUGUAGGUAUUCUGACUGAGGCUCAGUUAACACAACGAUAUAGGUGCAGUAUGAAGAGGUAGGGGGAGAACUAGGAAAGAUGCAUUUCUACACAAAUGGGGCUAAAUAUAUAGAAUAAGUGUUAUUUUGGGGGGUUUGAGCAAAAGAGAAAGGGUACAUAAUGGAGAAUCAAAGAAUUUGGGAAACCACAGUUAAGAUUUGUGGGGCAUUGGCAGAAAGUUUUGUGGAAAAGUCCUGAGUUCUUAUCCUAUCUUGUUGAUGAUGUUAAGAAUCUUGGAUAAGGUACAAGUGAAGCAAGCAAAGAUGUUCAAGAUUGUGAGAGCAUAGAGACUCGGGUUCUUUCUGCUGGCCGUAGAAAGUCAAACUUCCAAGGCCAGGUAAGUACUACUUCAUGUUUGACCCACAUUUAAAGCUCCUCAAAGAGUCAUGGAAUGAAAUCCCUCAUUGGUCCUCCAGGGAAUAUCUGGAAAGGCAGCAACUCCUGGAUAGACAUAUUGCAUGAGAAAGAUUCCAGAUGGCACUGUAGCAUUACCUAUGUUAGGAGAAGUCCUCAAUGAGCAGCGCCUAAAAGAGCUAAGGAAACUUGGGUCUCUCAGAGAGCACCUGAAUGCUGACACAGAUCCUGGUCAGUAUCUGGGUGUAGGUACCAAGUGGCUUGCUUUGCAGAAAGAAACACCAUUCCUAACUUUUGCACUACUGCAUUAUCACACUGGUUCUGCAGCAAUAUCUAUGCUUUCUGGGAAUAUGUGAGGGUUCAACUCUGAGGUUACAGAGAGUUGUCCAAUCCAUCACAGCUGGUCAUUCUAGUCUUGUGAUUUUCAUUUUCAUUUUUUUUUCUUAUCUAACUAUUUUUGUUCUCAAUUCAUGCUUAAUGAAUACAUUUCCUUCCCCAGAAUCCUCUUCCUUCAAAGAAAUUUCAGGAUUGUUCACCUGCUCAAAGAGAUAUGCCUUAUGAGAUAUGUUGCUGGGUAGCAAGCCAGGGAGUUAGGUGGUCAACUGAAGUGGAGGAAUAUUUACUUUGUUCUUGGCAAUGCCAUGGUGACCUCCUGUUGCUGAGUGGGGACUGCUUCCAAGCCAAGCUUUGGGGAAAACUGAGUAAAGAGGAGAAAGUCCCUGAGUUUUUUUCCCUAGAAUCCACCAGGCUUGUCUAAAACUUAUAUCUAUUUGGAGGCUUGCUCUGUUUCAGAACCAGAACUAUGGGACACUGUUGCCUUGGCACAUGAAAUCCAGGAUUUAGCAAAAUGGAGGUGGAUAUCAUUGGACAGCACUUGAACUCCAACAGUAUACUGCUGGACCCUGGCAACCAUCAUUCUACUUUCUGUCUCUAUGAAGUUGACCACUCUAGGUACCUCAUGCUGUGGGACCUAUGAGCAUAAGCCCCAUUGGUCACCAGAACCAGUUGAUCGAGAAGUGUCCUUUGGGCAGCAGCCACAAAACUCAAGGCACCAGUUUAUUGCAGGGAAACUGAUGUCCAAAGAAUAUCAAGAAACUAAAGUUUCCCAGACCCCAACUCCUCGGCUUCCUCGUCCUGGAAUCCACCAUCCAUCACGCAAGCAGACAACCAAGGACACUCACCUGCAGAUUCCCUUAUCUUGCCAACCGUCUCCCUGCACAUAGUCACAUUCCUCACAACCUUUAUAACUCCUUGCCUACCAUCUUUCGAGGAGACAAAUCUGAGUGCUUACUCUCGUCUUCCGGCUGACAUCACCUGAAAUAAAACCCAUUUCCUUACCACAAGCCUGGCAUUCCAGUUUUUUUUUGGCCCUCUCUUGUGUGGUAGGUGAAGGAACCUGUGUUUGUGUUUGGUAAUAAUUUGGCGAGCCAGCCAGGAGGCUUCUUGCCUGUGGCUCUGUGGCCCCAAGCUGACUGGGAUUUCCUGGGAAGCAGUCCAGCAACUGCCUGCGUGAUUUGCCCUAGGGACUGUCCCUGGUAUUUUCUGUCUAAUCUGGUGCCACUGGCCCUAGGCACAUUUUUCUUGUGGCAAGGAAACAGGCUCUAGAUUUGUUUGUUUUUGCUUCUGGUGAGUUGACAGGCUCAAUCUGGAGUAGGUAAGUUGUCUUGGUGUAUACAACCAAAAACUCCCUUCCCCCUCUAUCUGGGGUCCUCCCUCUCUGAGAGGAAGGACUGUCUGGGUGAUAGGGUGCCCAACCGAGUAGGAAUAGUUGUAGGGCUUGUUGCUGGAAUCUGGGAACCGGUUAGCUGUUGUCUGCUUUUUCUUUGUGUCUGUGUGUCUGUCCAUCUCUGUGUAUCGGAAUGGGGAAUGCACCAUCUGUCCCCAAGGGGAGCCCAUUGUGGCUUAUUCUGAAUAGAUGGUCUGAAUAGAUGGUCUGAUUAUAGUUAUAAGCCAAUGUCUAAGAAAAAGAUGAUUUUCUUUUGUAACGCUACAUGGCCACAAUAUUCUUUAGACUCUGGAGAGAAAAUGGCCAAACAAUGGAUCCUUAAGUUGGAAAAUUUUUUAGAGAGCUCUCAUCAUAAACAGCUGUUUUAUUGGUACCUAUGAAAAGACCAAAUUAAAAAGAAAAUACAAUGACUAGUCUUAAGAAAUUAAUCAAACUUGGGCUCUUGGCUUCCUUUCAUGGUUUUACAGAUGCUAAUGAAAACAUUAACAAAAAAUAAGAAGAACCUGAGAGAAAAGGAAAGGGACUCUUCUCAACAAGGUGGAAAUUUUUAAAGAGUUUUUUUUUUUUUUUUUUUUAAAUAAGGUAAAACAAAUAUUAAAGGGGAGAAAAACAAAGAGGAAUCAGAAAGGGAAGAAUCACAAGACUCAUCCCAGCUGGAUGGAAAUCUUUAGCUAGUUAUUAAAAAGAAACAUGGGAUAAACAGAAUAGAUAUGAAUGAAGUUAGAACAAAGGUUUUAAUAUAACACUGCCUAAGAUUGGGCAGGCUAAAGGGACGCACCUACUGGCCCCCCAACAUUAAAGUAACACAGACAGGCCUGUUCUGUUCACCCCAGUUUGAAAAAAUUUAAAAAGCCAGAAGGCAGAAAUCACAAUGAGAAACCUGACCAACAAUUGUUUGCAGCAACAGGCUGCUAAGAUUAAUAAGAUUAUAAAGAUUAAAGUGUUUAAGGUAAUAUUAUAUAAAGAGGUCAUGUCAACUUUGCCUGAAUGUUUUUUUUGGAAAUGAAUGAUAUGUCUGGCUUGGAAUGCUUCCCCUACACAGUAUUAUAAUACCAAAACUUGUUGAUGGAAUCCUAGUGGAAGUUCUAAUUAGAGGUAUAAAAAUUGAUAAAAUUAAGAUAAAAUUUUGUAAAAAUUGGUACAUUUAAAUGGGUUUUAUAUAAAAUGAUUGCAUCUCUUUUGCUUCGUUGUAUUGUAGAUGAUGUUAUGGGGGUAAACAUUGAGUCUCACUGGGAAACGUUUCCCCUGCAUGAUAUUGUAAGAACAUAUAAAUCUACCCUUCAGGCAAUGUUAAUUAAACGUGCUGCAGGAGAUCUCACUUUAAAAUGGCCAAAAUGGGGUAAUUUCAGUUUACCCAAACUGGUGUAUUUGCAUAUGCAAUUGGAAAAAUCAGAACUGCUUUAAUGUCACAUGAAGUUUUUGAGAGUAAUCGAAACACAAUUGUUGGGAACAAAUGAUUUAGAUAAGUGAAAAUAGGUAAGAGUCUUUGGGUACAAUAAUUAUGUUUUAUGGUAUAUAUGCUUGAAAAACAGCUCCCAAAAUCUUUUUGGUAACUUGAAACUUUGGAGUUUUGCUAAAUUAGGUUAAAUGAUUGAAAUUUAUUGAGUAUCUGGGUCUUUUCCACAUAAGAUAAAAUAUUAGAAAUUGCUUGUUAAACAGAUGUGUCUGCCUUUGGUUUCUUAUCUCAAAAAAACUAAAGGAUGCUUGGGUUUAUUAAUAAACAUGUUUUGUACCAUGCAGGGACUUUUCUGUGAAAAAACGCAUAUUUCUAAAAAGUCUGUAUAAAAGGAAAGUAAAGUGUAUGUUUUCAGUAAAGAAGGUAUAAAGAAUGAAAAUAUUUUUGUUAUAAGAAAGACAAAUUUGUCCUAAAGUACUAGGAGAAAAGAAAGAAGACAUGAGACAAAUUCUGAAUGUAAAAAAAAAAAAAAGUUAUAGAAGGUUUGUGGAGGAGGAACCCUGAAAAAAGAAUUUUAUGUAUGGUCAUGUUGGCUAAGAUUAAAGUAAAUCUAAUUAAGUAACUGAGUUUUAAUGUCAAAGU